rnacentral:rRNA from 1 species
AGUGAACGCUGGCGGUAGGCCUAACACAUGCAAGUCGACCGGCAGCACAGUAAGAGCUUGCUCUUACGGGUGGCGAGUGGCGGACGGGUGCGGAAUACAUCGGAAUCUACUUUUUCGUGGGGGAUAACGUAGGGAAACUUACGCUAAUACCGCAUACGACCUACGGGUGAAAGCAGGGGAUCUUCGGACCUUGCGCGAUUGAAUGAGCCGAUGUCGGAUUAGCUAGUUGGCGGGGUAAAGGCCCACCAAGGCGACGAUCCGUAGCUGGUCUGAGAGGAUGAUCAGCCACACUGGAACUGAGACACGGUCCAGACUCCUACGGGAGGCAGCAGUGGGGAAUAUUGGACAAUGGGCGCAAGCCUGAUCCAGCCAUACCGCGUGGGUGAAGAAGGCCUUCGGGUUGUAAAGCCCUUUUGUUGGGAAAGAAAAGCAGCAGGUUAAUACCCCGCUGUUCUGACGGUACCCAAAGAAUAAGCACCGGCUAACUUCGUG